rnacentral:lncRNA from 1 species
UUAUUCUUGAUUACAAUAUAAAGUGUUUCUUUUAAUAUGUUAUUAACUUAAUUAACUUCAUUAACUUUUCAGAUGUCUAAAUGUAUCACAGAUCAACAUGAGCACUGCAAGGUAGCAAGUGGAAGACACAUCACUAAACACUUACAGAAAAUAUAUUUCAUUCUUCUUGGAAAAAGCAGGGAUGGUGUUCAGGCAGUUUUCUUUUUCCCUGUUCUUCAUCAGUAUUUUCUACCGUGAAUUCUAAUAUGGCUGUCAUCACAGCAGUUAGCUGUUAGGAUGGUUUCAGGACUCUCAACAACGUAAUUUUUAUCAUGCUAGAUAGUAAUAUUAAUUCCCUGUACAACAGAGAAAAAGAUCAUCUUUUAAUUAAGCAGGAUUUUUGUGCAUUAACAUCUUCGUUCCCAAAGGGAAGGGUCAAGGAGCAAAUUGCCUUGAGUGUGAUCACAUGGUAUGUGAUUGCACAACCAGGGGAUCAGGCUUAGCCAGCACUGGUCUGUGAAAGGCAAGUCCUGCUUGACCAACCUGAUCUUCUUCUCUGACCAGGUGACCCACCUAAUGGAUGAAGAAAGGCUGUGGACUUUAGUAAAGCCUCUGACUCUGCCUUCCACAGUAGAAUGUAUAAGCUGGCAGCCUAUGGCUUGGAUGGGUAUGCUCUUUGCAGGGAAAAAAACUGCCUGGACAGCUGGGCCAAAGAGCAGUGGAGAAUGGAGUUAAAUCUAGCUGGCAACUGAUCAUGAGUGGUGUUCCUUAGGGGCAGUGUUUGGACCAGCCCUGUUUAAUACUUCUAUUGAUGAUCUGUAAGAGUGGAUGGAGUGCACUCCCAGUAAGUUUGCAAGUUGAUCUGUUGUUGAUCAAGUUGUUGAUCUGCCUGAGGGUUGGAAGGCCCUACAGAGGCAUCUGGACAGUCAGUGAAUUGAGACCAUUUGCAUGAGCUUUAACAAGAUUAAGUGCUGGGUCCUAAACUUUGGCCAAAACCACCUGAUAUGUGGCUGCAGGCUUGGGGCAGAAUGGCUGGAAAGUUGUGUGGAAAAAAAGAGUCUAUAGAUAUUAAGUGACAGAGACCUGUUCUCCUAGGUAACUAGUGAUAGGAUGAGAUGGAAUGGCUUUGAGUUGUGCCAGAAACGGCUCAGGUUGGGUGUUAGAAAAAAAUGAAAGAGUGGUUAAACAUUGGAAUAGGCUGUCAAGGGAAGUGAUGCAGUCACUGUCCCCUUUUCAAGAAAAGAGAUGUGGUACUAAAGGACAUGGUUUAGUGAUUUUGGUGUUGAUGGCUUGAUGGUUGGAUUAGAUGAUCUUAGUGGCCUUUUCCAAGCUUAAUGAUUCUAUGAUGCUUAGAGUGAUACUGCAAGAUCUCUUAUCGUAUUAAAUCCAGUUGGCCUUGCUGACAGUGUGUAUGUAUACAGUUACGUUAUUUGUAAAACAUUCUCUUAGCAUCACAUUUUAUUGACUGACUAUAGACAUUUUAAAUAAGAAAAGUUGUGUGUAAAUCCAGAGAUAUUUUAUAAAGGAAGGCAUGAAAUAGUCAAAACAUGAUGAUACCUCAGUGACUAGAGAGACAACUCUACUAACUCAAAAAUGUAUGUAACAUGAUUACUUUUGCUAUUAGCGCAGUAGGCCAUUAGCUUAGGAUCUUUUAUAUUUUUCUUCAUCAUCACUCUUCAUUUAGGUUCUCUAGAGAAGCCAAGUUGUCAGUGAACCUUCUGCUUGUUCUUGGAUGGUAUGAAUUGAUAGCAAAUUCUUUCAAACUGUUCUCAAGCCAUUUAAAAAUAUCCAUAUAAAACAAAAACCCAGCGUGCCUUCCAGUGCUUUUCUUUUUAUUACGAAUGGAUGUCAUUCAGUGUUUAAUAAACAAUUCAUAGUGUUUUGCAUGUUCCCUUGACAGAACACAUCUGAUAAAGGACUUUUUACAGAAUUGUGUACUUACACAUCAAAUCUCUGUAGCAGGGGCUGAAUCUAUGCAAAUAAAAAUGAUCAAGAAUGAAAUAGCAAUGUUACUUGACCACACUCCAUCUCACUGAAACUGCCUAAGUCCAGAAAAUAAUCAGAUGAAUUUUUAACUUGCCAGCUGCCAAAAUUUAUUCUUUUUUUUCCCCCUGGAGAAUUUACUACCACAUAGUCUAUUCUGGAGAGUGAUGUAAAAUCCAGAGGGAAAUCUAAACAGCAUAUGCCAUUUAAUACAUAAGCAUGCAUACAAUAAAAUGAAAAACUGUAUGCCAAAUUUAAAGCACUUAAUGUGAUUUAGUUGCAUAUAACAGGGACUUUUAAUUAACCUUGAAGUCUCAAAUGAUAUAUCUACAGAGUAUGUAUCUGCAGUUCAGUAUGAAUAAGAUGUUCUUGAUUUUGCUUCAAAAAAAAAAAAAAAGUUUCAAUCUUGUUUUCUAUUUGACAAAUUGAGAAUCAAACCUUAAAAUAUUUGCUCUAUGUAGAUAUUUAUUUCUCUGCUAAAAUUGCAAAAGGAUGAUAUCUGUUACAAAUUAUAUUAAUAAUCUCUGUUAUGGCAACAUCUAUCCAGUAGAAAAUGGGUUAAGAUGCUGGAUAAACUAACAAUUGGCAAAUAAUAAUAAUUUGACGUUUUCAUUUAAGGAUGAGUUGGUUGGUAAGCUAAUGGUAGAAAACUAUACACCCUUUCACAAAUUUCUUGAGCUAUCUGCAUAGAUUUAAUAUGUAACUUAUUUGUAGGCACAGUGAAAGUGUCUGGUGUUGUGAAGUGUAACUAGAUCACAUAUACAUUUUUUUUUUAAUGUACAUUUAACUCGUAAGCAAUACGCAAACACUGCUCUGAAUGUAAUGCCUUCUUUUUUAUUGCCCACAAGUUCAGUUAGCAGCAAGGCAAUAGAGAUGAAUUUUCCUGUCAAUAUUCCAUUUAAUUUUGUCAUUAUGAGACAGAUAGCAGUGGAGAGGCAGUCUGACAAAAUGGUGUUGGACAUGGAAGUAUAUAUGAAACAAAGAUAUGUAAUUCCUUCAUGCAGAAAAAGUUGCACUUACUGACAUCCUUUGACACUUGAUGAAUGUUUAUGGAAACCAAAGAGUGGAGGCUGUGAAUAUCCUCUCCCUGGAAACACUCAAGGCCAGGCUGGAUUGGGUUUUGAGCAAUCUUAUCUAGAUGGAGGUGUUCCUGUCUAUAGCAGGGGGGUUGGAACUAGGUGGUCUUAAGGGUCCCUUCCAACCCAAACCAUUCUAUGAUUCUGUGAUUCUGUUAGUGCAGUGAGGCAGUAGGUGAUGUGUUUCAGCAGUGGCAAAAGCCAUAUGAAAAACAAACCAUGUUCUGGAAGGCCAUGCAGACUCCUAUGAGCAUAGCAUGCAGACUCUCAUUCACUGCUGGCAAAAAUGCAUAGCUAAUGGUGGUGGCUAUGUUUAAAAGUAAUGUUUGUUAGCUGAGAACUUGCUCUAUGGAAUAGAGUUCUGUUCUUUGCAUCUGUUGUAGUUUCCAAGGAAACAGAUUGGAUGAAUUACUUUCAAAGCAACCGGCAUAAUUAGAAUAACAC